rnacentral:rRNA from 1 species
CACGUAGGGCGCAAGCGUUGUCCGGAAUUAUUGGGCGUAAAGAGCUCGUAGGCGGUCUGUUACGUCUGCUGUGAAAACCCGGGGCUUAACCCUGGGCUUGCAGUGGAUACGGGCAGACUAGAGGCAGGUAGGGGAGAAUGGAAUUCCCGGUGUAGCGGUGAAAUGCGCAGAUAUCGGGAGGAACACCGGUGGCGAAGGCGGUUCUCUGGGCCUGACCUGACGCUGAGACGCGAAGGCGUGGGGAGCGAACGGG